GAUGGACUAAGAAUUGAUGCAGUUUGUGUUAUCCCCUGUUUGGUUGCUCAGAAAAUGUAAGAAUUGAUGCAGUUUUGGAUUCUUAAUUUCUUAUGGAUAAUCCAAUAGAAUUAAUACUGAAAAUUUACCAAUGGAUAACACUUCAAAGUUGAUUGUAUAAUAUAGUUGUCCUUACUUUAUAAUAAUUUCGAGUUUUCGACAUAUCUGUGUGUGUGUGGAAUGUAACAUAUCGGAUUUAGGUUAUACUGUGCAUAAUUUUAUUGUCUGUUGUUAUCUGCGCUAUACCAUUCCUAUGCAGGCUCUAAAAGCACUUUCCAUAAUUUAAGCAGUCUGUUUUGGGUUCUUUUUUAUUAGGUCAUUAGCUAUUGAUUAAUGGAGAAACGAGGACCAUGGCACUGAUUUUGGGUUCUUUUUCUAAUCUUCUGAUUUUGGGGUUUUGAAGGGAGUGCUGAUGUACCGAUCUGAGAACCAUCUUCUUUUUCUUCUUCCGCUUUUCCCUGUGCGUUCCAGUUUGACUGUCUGUGAUUAAAAUGUGGAUUGAAGAUCUCAUUCAAGGUUCUUUCCCUAUUAUUUCAAGCUAGAUUAGCUGUCUAGUCAUGCAGAAGACAUCUCCAUUAACCGGUAACAGAUGAAAUCGUUUGCUGUUGAGGUUCCUGUGCAAGAGCGAAAAUGCUGCAAGUGGAGGAUAGAUAACAGCUCAAGACACAUGGUAUGACAGUGCAGGUAAACUGUACAUAUGCAUCUGGAAAAAGUAAAAAAGUUAAAGCGGGUUGGCUGUAGCUUUUCCUUCUCGCCACAACAGAAAUACUUUUGAACUACAUUAAGCUGUUAAUAAAUUAAGCUUAAGCUAUAUUUUACUUAUCAAGAAUGGGUAAACUGUUUUAAAUAGGAAAAUUAAGUGCUUAUAUUAGGUAAACUGUCAAUUUUACAAAGUUUUCUGGUAAAUUAGAUAUAUAGUUUAAUU